rnacentral:rRNA from 1 species
GCCAACAUCGGUUCUGAGGGUCGGUCAAAGGCCCUGGGAAUGUAUCUACCUACGGGUAGACUUAUAGACCAGGGUGUCAUGCGGCCUCUCGGGACCGAGGAACGCGCUUCGGCUCGGAUGUUGGCGUAAUGGUUGUCAGCGA